rnacentral:rRNA from 1 species
AGUGAACGCUGGCGGUAGGCCUAACACAUGCAAGUCGAACGGCAGCACAGUAAGAGCUUGCUCUUACGGGUGGCGAGUGGCGGACGGGUGAGGAAUACAUCGGAAUCUACUUUUUCGUGGGGGAUAACGUAGGGAAACUUACGCUAAUACCGCAUACGACCUACGGGUGAAAGCAGGGGAUCUUCGGACCUUGCGCGAUUGAAUGAGCCGAUGUCGGAUUAGCUAGUUGGCGGGGUAAAGGCCCACCAAGGCGACGAUCCGUAGCUGGUCUGAGAGGAUGAUCAGCCACACUGGAAGUUAGACACGGUCCAGAAACCUACGGGAGGGAGCAGGGGGGAAUAUUGGACAAAGGGCGGAAGGCUGAUCCAGCCAUACCGCGUGGGUGAAGAAGGCCUUCGGGUUGUAAAGCCCCUUUGUUGGGAAAGAAAAGCAGCAGGUUAAUACCCCGCUGUUCUGACGGUACCCAAAGAAUAAGCACCGGCUAACUUCGUG